AGCAGUCGCCGCGGGAAUACGUAGGUGGCAAGCGUUGUCCGGAAUUAUUGGGCGUAAAGGGCUCGCAGGCGGUUUCUUAAGUCUGAUGUGAAAGCCCCCGGCUCAACCGGGGAGGGUCAUUGGAAACUGGGAAAUUUGAGUGCAGAAGAGGAGAGUGGAAUUCCACGUGUAGCGGUGAAAUGCGUAGAGAUGUGGAGGAACACCAGUGGCGAAGGCGACUCUCUGGUCUGUAACUGACGCUGAGGAGCGAAAGCGUGGGGAGCGAACAGGAUUAGAUACCCGAGUAGUCCCUGUCUCUUAUAC
rnacentral:rRNA from 1 species